rnacentral:rRNA from 1 species
AUACGAAGGGGGCAAGCGUUGUUCGGAAUAACUGGGCGUAAAGGACGCGUAGGCGGGUUGGCAAGUCAGAUGUGAAAUCCUACAGCUUAACUGUAGAACUGCAUUUGAAACUGCUAACCUAGAGUAUGGGAGGGGGAGAUGGAAUUAGUGGUGUAGGGGUAAAAUCCGUAGAUAUCACUAGGAAUACCGAAAGCGAAGGCGAUCUCCUGGAACAUAACUGACGCUAAGGCGUGAAAGCGUGGGGAGCAAACAGGAUUAGAUACCCUAGUAGUCC